GCUGGUGGCAGCAGCAGCACCAGAGAAACAGGAUGCACAAGGAGGUUGGGUAGAAAGGUUGUUUUGAGUUCUCCCUAAGCCUGGCAGAUGCCCGGCCCUGGCAUCCUGCCACGCUCCCCCAUCUAGGAUCCUGGACUGAAGGCUCAUCUCGCUCUCAGCCCAGUGCAGGCUGCUCACUGUUUCCAUUCACAGUUCGGAAUCUGUGUCUCGGAGGCAUAGACUCCUAGAGGCUCCGCGGUGGGAGGGGCUCUGUUGCUGUAAGUCUACAAGCUGGCAUUUCAAAGAACUUCAAAGGGCAGGUGGGGGCCCUAAACCGUGAAGCCGUCUUAGAGUUAAGAGGUGGCAGCUAUGUUGAAUGGGGGAGGAGGAAGAAGUCCACGGAAGACUGAGGCACAUGUUGGGUUCCUGUCUCCAAAUCUUAGCCCUUUGGUAGCUCCAUCUUGUGUCCGUGCUGAGAUGCAGAAGUGGGAAGACAGGCCACUCCCUGUUUGCAGAGCAGGAAAUCGAAGUUCUCCAGCCUGCUGCGUUUUUCUGCAGCCAACCUGUCUGCAACCCCAGGUGUGUGAGGGGAAGCGCGGGCAGGAAAGACUUCGGCUUCCUCUCCCCCCAGCUGUGCUGGGGCUCCACAGGGAAACAGAAAAUGAGAAGAGAAAGCAAGAAUGCUCCGGGUGGUAAGGGCCUGAGCUGGGCCUGGCAGCCAGAGGUCAGCAUUGGGUCCAGCUAGACGGCCAGGCGUAAGAAGAAAAUCUAAAUACAGACGGUUCCUAUCUGACCAUGGGCUCAUCAUGCCCUGCGUCUUAACCCUAAUCAUUAUUGAAGUCUGAAAAAGCCCUGGGGUGGGAACAAAGGUGACAUCUGGCCUUCCCGAUGCUGCCCUCCAUUGUUCCAGGCCCUUCCCUAUGAAACAAACAACACAGGUACCCACAGCUCCAAGAAGGUAAGGCCAACACCUGCUCCCUUUGGUCCUUUUCAUUCCUGACUGUUCCCAACACCCUUGUCCUUCCCCGGGCAUCCAAUGCAAGGUCUUGGUAGCAGCUCCAGCCAUGGGGCCUGGGCUGUAGCUCUGUAGCCAUGCUUCAUCAGGAACAUCCUUUUUUCCUUCGUCCCCCAGCUGAUGUCAGAACCAGCCACCAGGGCCCAAAGGUGGUGGUUUCUCCUAUGACACCCCUCCGACAGUGUGGUUUUUACAUCCUGUCCUGGUUGGUGUGUUUGUCGUCUCCGCCCCCCUCCCACCAUCCAGAGCUUUCCAGGUGCAGUAGCCAAAUUUUGUUUUUCUCUUUCUCCUAGCACAAGACACAGCUCUGAUAAUAUUUGUGUAAUAGUUGAGGCAUGGAUAUUUUCUUUUAAACCAAUGUUUUAAAAACCUUUUUAGCCUCCACCCUC